rnacentral:rRNA from 1 species
CAAUAGCGUAUAUUAAAGUUGUUGCAGUUAAAAAGCUCGUAGUUGGAUUUCUGGUGGGAGCGAUCGGUCUGGCGCUUAGCGCGAGUACUUGCAUCGUCUCCGGCCAUCCUUGGGGAGUGUCUGUCUGGCAUUAGGUUGUCGGGCAGAGGAUCCUCAUCGUUUACUGUGAAAAAAUUAGAGUGUUCAAAGCAGGCUUAUGCCGUUGAAUAUAUUAGCAUGGAAUAAUAAGAUAGGACUUUGGUACUAUUUUGUUGGUUUGCGCACCAAAGUAAUGAUUAAUAGGGACAGUUGGGGGUAUUCGUAUUCCGUUGUCAGAGGUGAAAUUCUUGGAUUUACGGAAGACGAACUACUGCGAAAGCAUUUACCAAGGAUGUUUUCAUUAAC